rnacentral:tRNA from 7 species
GGGGCUGUAGCUCAGCUGGGAGAGCGCUUGAAUGGCAUUCAAGAGGUCAGCGGUUCGAUCCCGCUCAGCUCCACCA